CGUGCAGUAGCUCAGGCGGUAGAGCAGCAUCUUCAUACGGUGACGGUCGGUGGUUCGAGUCCACCUUGCACGACCA
rnacentral:tRNA from 1 species